CCUACGGGAGGCAGCAGUAGGGAAUUUUCCGCAAUGGGCGAAAGCCUGACGGAGCGACGCCGCGUGAGUGAGGACGGCUUUCGGGUUGUAAAACUCUGUUCUUCGGGAAGAACGGCGGGAGGGUGAACAGCCCUUUUGCGUGACGGUACCGAAGAAGAAAGCCCCGGCUAACUACGUGCCAGCAGCCGCGGUAAUACGUAGGGGGCAAGCGUUGUCCGGAAUUAUUGGGCGUAAAGGGCGCGCAGGCGGCCUGUUAAGUCUGGUGUGAAAGACCACGGCUCAACCGUGGGGUUGCAUCAGAAACUGGCGGGCUUGAGUGCAGGAGAGGAGAGUGGAAUUCCCGGUGUAGCGGUGGAAUGCGUAGAGAUCGGGAGGAACACCAGUGGCGAAGGCGGCUCUCUGGCCUGCAACUGACGCUGAGGCGCGAAAGCGUGGGUAGCGAACAGGAUUAGAUACCCUGGUAGUCCACGCCGUAAACGAUGAGUGCUAGGUGUUGGGGGUUUCCGCCCUCUGUGCCGAAGGUAACCCAAUAAGCACUCCGCCUGGGGAGUACGGCCGCAAGGCUGAAACUCAAAGGAAUUGACGGGGGCCCGCACAAGCGGUGGAGCAUGUGGUUUAAUUCGAAGCAACGCGAAGAACCUUAC
rnacentral:rRNA from 1 species